rnacentral:lncRNA from 1 species
UUGUGUAAUUGCUGGUUACAGCCCAUGAAUGCGAAGGGGAGGGGGGCCUGCGGGAGGACCAAGCAGAGGAAGGAGAACUACAGCCCACAUUGGUUGCGCCAUGAGGGUUUUUCCAUGAGUUCUUUCCCCGGACUCCUGGCUGGGGUGGCAGUUGUUCCAGGUGGAGACAAGCCACUCUCACUGUUGGACUGCAUUUGGGAGCUGGUCAAAAAGAAUGGCUGAUAUUUCCAUGGCAAUUCACAAUUUGCAAAGCAUUUUUCUCUCAAAUGCCGUCCGAUGGAGUAUCGUAAGCUUUAGAGUCGGAAAGGUACCAUUUAAUCCAACCCCUCAUGUCACCCAUCUGGAAACUGAGGUUCAGAGAAGUGACUUGACCAAGGUCACAGCGAAAAAACCAGGGAUGCCUGGAGAGUGGAAAAGCAGGUGGGAUAUGGCAAAGCACUCAAUCGAAAUAAAAUCAUCAAAUGCUCGAAGACUCUGGGAAGAUGAAAAUGCUGGGAUAAAUCAGGAGGUUAAAACCAUUCUAGGCAAUCAGCCCAGCUUGGGGCUGGGCCUGCAGGCCCUCCUUCCUCCCUGCUACAGGGUUAUGUCUGCUGCUUGAGGAAUGGGCUUCUGAUCUAUUUGGUGUAGGAGGGGAGGAAUGUCAAUGUGUCUGGGAGAGAGGAUGAUGGGAAGGAAGUGAGAAGAAAGUGAUAUGGGAUGACGUCACAUUGCAAGCUAUUGGGUUGGGGGAGGAUGUCUGUGGAUUCACUCAUGGGGAGACAGUAGCAAAGUAGGGAACAGAAAUUAUGCUUUUAUUUUUUAAUAAAAAAUUUAAAAUUAGAAUUUUAAUUAAAUUA